CAGGAUCUGUGGCAACUGCAUAUUACAAACAGCUCAACCUCCUCCCUCGAAUCUGCCUACCAAGUUAGAAAGUCAUCCUUCAAGGGCAGCAAAUUCACACCUCUUAGUGCUUCGGUAACCUGAAUAUCACAUAUACACUUAAUUGUUUUUAACGCAGAAAUUCACCAGGGCUAGUAGAAAAUUUCAAGUUAGAAAAAAGACUUUUAAUUUUCUUAAAUAAUUCUCCUAUGUACCAUUCCACAUUGUGGAAAAACUGAAUUAUGCAGUCUGGAGACAACAUCGAGAUUUCAGAACACUGGCACAAAUACUUACAUCUAUAUUUUAUAAUAUAUUAGAACCACCAUGUCCUGUCUUAGAGCCUGUAACAGAUAACAGGUCUGAAACUGCAAGAGGUUUACAGAUGAAACUUCAAAUCUGGAGGUGUUAGCUGUGCCAGAGUCCCAAAACAGAUCUGGAAAGAUCUCCAUCCCAACUCUCCAUUCCGUCACUGCAGCUGUACUCUGUAUGCACCUAUUAGCAGCUUAACCUAUUGAAAGAAAAUAGGCAUAAGUAUCAGUACAGAUACCUCCAUCGAGUUCUCUCUUCUUAGAAGAGGGAAAACACUCAACCAAGAUUUGUCUGUCUUAUUUGGCAAUGUUCUCAAAUUGGUUAUCAAUUCAGGGUGUUAGGUUAUCACUUCUAAUAAAAAAAUCCAAGUGCUUAUGAUUUGACUUUUAGAUUAUUAUAGUAAAUAACUGUACUCUUUGUUACAUAAGCUUUCGGUCCACCUUCAAUGUUUAGUGAACAUCCUGGAGACAUACAUAAAAUGUCAUACAUUAAAUAACAAAGGCCAGAAUACAGCUCCGACUGCUCAAUACCGGAGAGAUGCAUCCUUACCAUCAGUCCCUUUCUUGACACACAAUUUAUGUCUAACACAUCUGUAGAUUCUGGUGCACUGCUAUCCCGGAGAGCACUUGUCUCCAGGACAGGCACGCCAGGAACACAGCAUUCUUGGAAUGUUUUUCUGCUGAUGAUAAAGUAAUCUGGCGUAGCAACAGAAGUAGCUGCACUAAAUGUGAGGAAAGGAUUUUCACCUUGGCAGAAGGCGCUUCCGUCAACCUUAUGAAGAGUUUAUUGAGACCUGCAGCAGGGCUGAACGAGUAAACAAAAUGACUAUCCUAGGGAGAGGAGAGACACCAACCAGUCAGAGUUUCCUCAGACAAACUUCUACAUCUGAGAGCAUCACUGUAUCUUAACAAAAACAUUUCAGAUUACAAAGACAUAUAAGAACACAAAUUUUAUACUUUAUAUAGAUCAAUUUGCUGUGAUUACUUUUCUCGAUUUAUUAAAAAGAUACAACUGACAAAAAAGCUUGUAAGAUUUAUCUGCAAAAACAGCAUUCAGAUAAAUCUUUAGGAUUAGCAUGUAUCCAGCCAUAUACAGCAUGAGUGUUAAAAAUCCUCAUGAACAAUUGAUUUUGCUUAAUUCAGGCUAAGGAAAGAAUUCUAAGUACAGAAAAGGAAACAUACACAAAGAUUCUUCAAGACCAUUUUUUGUUAAAGUUUAUAUAGCCACUAAUAUUUAUUUUAUUAUAAACCAAAUUUACAGUAUAAUGGUUACCUAAAGCUACACACAUUAACACUAAGCAUAAAUACACCCAUGUUCUAGGUACUUGAAGUACAGGAUGGGUGUAUUUUUAAAAUUUCCUAAAUUUCCUUUAGGUGAAUGUAAUUAUGAUGGUGGGAAAAGGCAGAAUAUUUAAUAAAAAUCAGACAGUAUGUUUAUUAUACCUUAAGAAUUUAUAUUCAGAAUGUUCUAAGACAGUAUGGUAAACGUUAACUUAAGGCAUAUAUAUCAAACAUGAGAAAUCCAGACUCUUACUGACAAAAUUUAGGAUAAUUUUACUUUAUAAUUAGGGGUUAUUGCCUCAUUUCCAUCUGGCUUAGUUACAAUUAACAUUUUAUUAAAACACACAAUUAAAAGUCAUCUGUGCUUCUGGAUUAGAAGAAUAUACUUUUUAGUAAUGAACUACAGAAAAUCUUACCAGAAAAACUGGAAGUUGAAAUUUAUCAUUUAAAACUACAGCUUGUACACUACAUGGUCCACAGAGCCGAGCAAUAACUUCUUUACCCAAAAAGUUGGCAUGGAAAAUAAACAGCAGGAUGCCAGAGCCUGAAUAAGGGAGAUGUAAACAUAGAUUUUAAUACCAAUCCUACCAUGGCCACCUUUCAACUCUGAGGAAGGCGCAGCUGUACAAGUUGGGAGCGGUCCCCUCAGGAAGCCUGGUGGUAUACAACCCCGCCUGCUGCCCACUCACGCCAGACAAUCUUGAGUCCAAUUUCAAAACUUGGUGUUACCUAGCAUUUUUCAAACCACAGACCCGUUUUAUUUUUUGUCCAUGGAACAAAUAUUUUAAAAUAUGCUUUUCUACAUUAAUUUUGGUCUAAAAAAAUGAGUAUUUAAAAGUUGCUGCUAAAUGUGUAAAUGUCCAUAGAAGCAAACUUCUAUGACGGUUCUCUCUGGGUGUGGGUUUGAAUGACUGUCCAUUUUCUUCCACAUAGUAUUUUGCCUUUUCCAAAUUUUCUGAUUAAUACCAAAACCUAUUUUAUUUUGGGGGGGAAAAAACCAUGAGAUUUGAAGCUUCCACUGAAUAUCCAAAAUGCUGUGCAUGACUCACUUUUCUAAACAAAGCCAUACUUUUAUUAUAACAAAAUAGAUAUAUGAACUCUAUGACCUUUCUGGUAAGCCAUUUUUAAGAUGAAAAAACACUGAUCCAGCCCAAUUAUAAACGAGAGGAGACUUCAUAAAAGAGACCCCAAGGAACCAUUGGGUUUAUUUGUUCUGGUCCCAGGGAAAGGAGGACACGCUGAGCCCCUGGCUCUCUUUCUUCGCCUUUCAAGCUAUUUAAGAAUAUAGAUCCUGGAAUUGGAGUAACCAUCACGCAGGCAUGAAGAUCCAAGUCACACCCUAAGUGUGGUGGAGGAGGAAAAGGGGAAGAGUGGCUUUUCUUGUCCAUGGCUGUCUACCCCUGGACUCUGUAUUAUUUUGAACAAUAAACACCUUACUUGUAUUAACUA